rnacentral:rRNA from 1 species
UUCGGCCUACGGGGCGCAGCAGUGGGGGAUAUUGCACAAUGGGGGGAACCCUGAUGCAGCGACGCCGCGUGGGUGAAGGAGCGUUUCGGCGCGUAAAGCCCUAUCGGCAGGGAAGAAGAUGACGGUACCUGACCAAGAAGCCCCGGCUAACUACGUGCCAGCAGCCGCGGUAAUACGUAGGGGGCAAGCGUUAUCCGGAUUUACUGGGUGUAAAGGGGGCGCAGACGGCAAUGCAAGCCAGGAGUGAAAGCCCGGGGCCCAACCCCGGGACCGCUCUUGGAACUGCCUG